GGGGAAUAUUGCGCAAUGGCCGAAAGGCUGACGCAGCGACGCCGCGUGGGGGAUGAAGCAUUUCGGUGUGUAAACCCCUGUUGCCCGGGACGAACAAGCAGAUUUUUCUGCUCUGACGGUACCGGGUGAGGAAGCACCGGCUAACUCCGUGCCAGCAGCCGCGGUAAUACGGAGGGUGCGAGCGUUGUCCGGAAUCACUGGGCGUAAAGGGCGCGUAGGCGGUCUGCUAAGCGUGCGGUGAAAGCCCGGGGCUCAACCCCGGGUCUGCCGUGCGAACUGGUGGACUAGAGCACUGUAGAGGCAGGUGGAAGUCCGGGUGUAGCGGUGGAAUGCGUAGAGAUCCGGAAGAACACCGGUGGCGAAGGCGGCCUGCUGGGCAGUAGCUGACGCUGAGGCGCGACAGCGUGGGGAGCAAACA
rnacentral:rRNA from 1 species